UCCUGUGUGCGGCGCCACCGCUGCGCGAGCGCUUCCACCCAAUCUCCCCGCCCUCCUCCACAGCUCCGGCCAAGGCGCAGACUUCUCCGGCCCUCCUCCAUAUUCCUCACCUCCAUACCAUCCACUUCCUGUCCUUUGCUUCUCCAAGACUGCAGCAUGGUGCUCGGCGGCUGCGGCAUCGGAGCUGAUGGUGCGCGAGCCGACCAGUUCAACGGAGGCAGUAGCACGGGGCAGCAGCAGCAGCAUGGAGGGCGGCCACUUGAUCGGGAAGGUCCUGGAACUGCAAAUAGGAGUGGCAGUGGCAAUCACGAUGCAAAUGCAAGUGGUUCCCAAAGAUCUUGCAAAGCCGAAUGAUGCAAACCCAAAGAACCGAUGCAACGGAAGCAAGGAACCGUGGGGAUCCGAAUGAUGCAAACCCGAAGAACCGAUUCAAAGGAAGCAAGGAACCGAUGGUCAGUGCUGCAUUUUGUCGAUCGUUGUUUUGAUGGCUUCAGUUGUUGGUUUUUUUGUGUGUGUAGGCUAUAUUCAUCGUUGAUCUUGUAUGACUUUGCUUUUUACAAACGUGGUUUGUUCUAUGCGUGCGUUGAUUUUGGUUGUGUGCAUUUUAGCUAUGCAGAGACCCGGUGUAUACUCAUUGUGUCUGUAUUUUCUUGAUGCUUCAUUAUGAGUCAAUAA